rnacentral:rRNA from 1 species
GAUGAACGCACAAGACGUGCCUAACACAUGCAAAUCGAAUGAAAAUAAUAAUUUUCAUGGUGAACGGGUGAGUAACACAUAAGAAUCAGCUUUUAGAUAAGGCAUAAAAGAGUAAUAUCUUGGUAAUUCCUUAUAUGCGCAGCAGUGCUUAAAAAGGGGAAUCCCGUCUAAAAACGAGCUUAUGCCUGAUUAGCUAGUUGGCGAGUUAAACGCUCACCAAGGCGAAGAUCAGUAGCUGGCCUGAGAGGGCGGCCAGCCACAUUGGGACUGAGACACGGCC